GAAAUUUCUAAAGGAUCUAUAGCAGUUGCAGUCUACAAAAACAUAAACGAUAAAAUCCAUUACAGAAGUUAAAAAAUUGUCUAAAGACUAUCUAUGAAGCCUUCACUAUAUAACGCGCAAGCAUCAAACUUACAAUCGUUUGCACCACAACUAAACGAAGAGAUUUAACCUUUCCCUUCUCAUACCGUGGGCGCUAGUCCACCAUGAACACAAACACUUGAUAAGUAAUUGCUAGGUUUUCAGGUGAAUGAACGAUACGC
rnacentral:misc_RNA from 1 species